rnacentral:rRNA from 1 species
CCUACGGGUGGCAGCAGUGGGGAAUAUUGCACAACGGGGGAAACCCUGAUGCAGCGACGCCGCGUGAAGGAAGAAGUAUUUCGGUAUGUAAACUUCUAUCAGCAGGGAAGAAAAUGACGGUACCUGACCAAGAAGCCCCGGCUAACUACGUGCCAGCAGCCGCGGUAAUACGUAGGGGGCAAGCGUUAUCCGGAUUUACUGGGUGUAAAGGGAGCGUAGGCGGUUUAGCAAGUCAGAAGUGAAAGCCCGGGGCUCAACUCCGGGACUGCUUUUGAAACUGUUGAACUAGAGUGCAGGAGAGGGAAGUGGAAUUCCGAGUGUAGCGGUGAAAUGCGUAGAUAUUAGGAGGAACACCAGUGGCGAAGGCGGCUUACUGGACUGUAAAUGACGCUGAGGCUCGAAAGCGUGGGGAGCAAACAGGAUUAGAUACCCUUGUAGUC